GAUGAACGCUAGCGAUAGGCUUAACACAUGCAAGUCGAGGGGCAGCAUGGUCUUAGCUUGCUAAGGCUGAUGGCGGCCGGCGCACGGGUGCGUAACGCGUAUGCAACUUGCCUCACAGAGGGGGAUAACCCGUCGAAAGACGGACUAAUACCGCGUACACUCUAUGUUGGGCAUCCAAUGUAGAGGAAAUGAAAUUCGCUGUGAGAUAGGCAUGCGUCCCAUUAGCUAGUUGGUGAGGUAACGGCUCACCAAGGCGACGAUGGGUAGGGGAACUGAGAGGUUGAACCCCCACACUGGUACUGAGACACGGACCAGACUCCUACGGGAGGCAGCAGUGAGGAAUAUUGAUCAAUGGGCGAGAGCCUGAACCAGCCAAGUCGCGUGAAGGAUGACUGUCUUAUGGAUUGUAAACUUCUUUUAUACGGGAAUAACAAGAGUCACGUGUGGCUCCCUGCAUGUACCGUAUGAAUAAGCAUCGGCUAACUCCGUG
rnacentral:rRNA from 1 species